UACAGAGGUCUCAAGCGUUGUUCGGACUCAUUGGGCGUAAAGGGUGCGUAGGUGGCGCCGUAAGUCAGGUGUGAAAUUUCGGAGCUUAACUCCGAAACUGCAUUCGAUACUGCGGUGCUUGAGGACUGGAGAGGAGACUGGAAUUCAUGGUGUAGCAGUGAAAUGCGUAGAGAUCAUGAGGAAGACCAGUGGCGAAGGCGGGUCUCUGGACAGUUCCUGACACUGAGGCACGAAGGCCAGGGGAGCAAACGGG
rnacentral:rRNA from 1 species